GAUGAACGCUGGCGGCGUGCUUAACACAUGCAAGUCGAACGGAAAGGCUCCUGCUUGCCGGGGUACUCGAUUGGCGAACGGGGGAGUAACACGUGGGUGAUCUGCCCUGCACUUCGGGAUAAGCCUGGGAAACUGGGUCUAAUACCGGAUAGGACGAUGGUUUGGAUGCCAUUGUGGAGAGAUUUUCGGUGUGGGAGGAGCUCGCGGCCUAUCAGCUUGUUGGUGGGGUAAUGGCCUACCAAGGGGUCGACGGGUAGCCGGCCUUAGAGGGUGUACGGCCACAUUGGGACUGCGAUACGGACCAGACUCCUACGGGAGGCAGCAGUGGGGAAUAUUGCACAAUGAGCCCAAGCCUGAUGCAGCGACGCCGCGUUGGGGAUGACGGCCUUCGGGUUGUAAACUACUUUCGCUAGGGACGAAGCGCAAGUGACGGUACCUGGAGAAGAAGCACCGGCUAACUACGUG
rnacentral:rRNA from 1 species